GGAGCUGCUCCUAGUACGAGAGGACCGGAGUGGACGUUCCUCUGGUGUUCCGGUUGUCACGCCAGUGGCAUUGCCGGGUAGCUAUGAACGGACAGGAUAACCGCUGAAAGCAUCUAAGCGGGAAGCCUCCCAUAAGAUGAGAUCUCACUAGUGACUUGAUCACUCUGUAGGGCCGUUGAAGACUACAACGUUGAUAGGUUGGGUGUGGAAGUGCAGUAAUGUAUGAAGCUAACCAAUACUAAUUGCCCGUGAGGCUUGACCAU
rnacentral:rRNA from 1 species